rnacentral:rRNA from 1 species
UACGAGGGGGGCAAGCGUUGUUCGGAAUUAUUGGGCGUAAAGGGUGCGUAGGCGGUUUUGUAAGUCUUGUGUGAAAUCUUCAGGCUCAACCUGAAGACUGCACGAGAAACUGCAGGGCUUGAGUGUGGGAGAGGUGAGUGGAAUUCCUGGUGUAGCGGUGAAAUGCGUAGAUAUCAGGAGGAACACCUGUGGCGAAAGCGGCUCACUGGACCACAACUGACGCUGAUGCACGAAAGCUAGGGGAGCAAACAGG